UACGUAGGGUGCAAGCGUUAUCCGGAUUUAUUGGGCGUAAAGGGCUCGUAGGCGGUUCGUCGCGUCCGGUGUGAAAGUCCAUCGCUUAACGGUGGAUCCGCGCCGGGUACGGGCGGGCUUGAGUGCGGUAGGGGAGACUGGAAUUCCCGGUGUAACGGUGGAAUGUGUAGAUAUCGGGAAGAACACCAAUGGCGAAGGCAGGUCUCUGGGCCGUUACUGACGCUGAGGAGCGAAAGCGUGGGGAGCGAACA
rnacentral:rRNA from 1 species